rnacentral:rRNA from 1 species
CACGUAGGGUGCGAGCGUUGUCCGGAAUUAUUGGGCGUAAAGAGCUCGUAGGCGGUGUGUCACGUCGGCCGUGAAAACCUGCAGCUUAACUGUGGGCGUGCGGUCGAUACGGGCAUCACUGGAGUUCGGCAGGGGAGACUGGAAUUCCUGGUGUAGCGGUGAAAUGCGCAGAUAUCAGGAGGAACACCGGUGGCGAAGGCGGCCCUCUGGACGAUGACUGACGUGGAGACGCGAAAGCGUGGGGAGCAAACAGG